UUCGGACUGGGAGCGUACACAGGUGCUGCAUGGCUGUCGUCAGCUCGUGUCGUGAGAUGUUGGGUUAAGUCCCGCAACGAGCGCAACCCUUGCCUUUAGUUGCCAGCAGUUCGGCUGGGCACUCUAAAGGGACUGCCGGUGUUAAACCGGAGGAAGGUGGGGAUGACGUCAAGUCCUCAUGGCCUUUAUGACCAGGGCUACACACGUACUACAAUGGCCGAUACAAAGGGCAGCGACACUGCGAGGUGAAGCCAAUCCCGUAAAAUCGGUCUCAGUCCGGAUUGGAGUCUGCAACUCGACUCCAUGAAGUUGGAAUCGCUAGUAAUCGUGGAUCAGCAUGCCACGGUGAAUACGUUCCCGGGCCUU
rnacentral:rRNA from 1 species